GUAUGAUGAGAGUUUAAAGUCCUACCACAGCCAUAUAUACAUGCUUGCUAGAUUUUGAGCCACACAUUUACUUUUUACUGCUUAUGAGCAUUGGGUGUGGUCAAGCUGUGUAGACCCUUAGGAGCUUGUCAUGUGGUUAAAUCAAGAUUCACUUGCACGUUCACUCACACAUGCUGCUUCUACUCCGGAAGUACGCAUCCACAUAUAUCCACUCAUUUCCAUCUCCAGAACCACCCAAAAGUAUUCUACUCCUAAUCUGGGAGAGAAUAGCCAAAAAUAUUCUCCUAUUUUGUUUUUCCCCUGUGAAAUAAUUGCUCAAGUUAUCUUGGUUACACCACUUGCUAUAUUAUUUUCAGGAGAUGAGUGCUCUAAAAAAAGAGAAAGGAUACGAGGAAAUAAAAAGGGGCAAGUGCCCGGAACCUCGAAAGAAAAGAAAAAGUGAGAUGAGAGGUAAAAAUGGACAAGUGUCCAACAGUAGCAUUAGGGGUAAAAGAUACCCACCUGAGAGAAAAGAAAAAGAAAAUAUAGAGCAUCUCAUUCUCCUCAAAAGUUUUAAAAGAGCAAGAAAGGCAUGUAUCCCCUCAACAGAGCAAAAGUAGAAUUAGACUUUCACCAUUGUUAUCACCAUCAUCACCAUACACCAUUCAUUCACCACACAUGCACAUCCUGAUUUGACUUACUGACUUGUUUCUCUGGAUCCAUGGUUUGACUAUGCAAUAAAUGUCUUGUAAGUUUGUAUACUCUAUCUCCCACCUAUGAGCUCCACAUAUCAAAAGCCUUAUUAAGUAGGGUGAGAGAGAAGGCAAGUUUACUAUGCUUCAUACCACAAAUACCACAUACUUUGAGAGAAGGCAUAUACCAUCACUGCCUUGGUAAGGAUCCAGAAAUAACACAAAAGAGAGAUCUGAGAGAGUCAUAAAAGGAAUCUCUGAGUUUUAUUUGAAAAUCUGAAAAACUCUAGAGCUAUGGCUGACCAAGAAUAAGAGACAUGGCACUUGACUAGACCGUUCUAUCUUUUAACUGCUCAAGACAGAAGUUACGGUUACAAGUCCCAUGGUGAAAGGUAAAAUGAGUAACUUUCAAGUCUUGACAGUUUACUCUAACUCAGAGACAAGACCUCAUUGGAAAGCAUGUGUACCGUCAACGUUUAAAGGCAUUACAACAACUUCUGAUCCGAGUCUAUCCUUGCUCAGGGACAAGCAAGAGGUAAGCUUGGGGGAGUUUGUUGAUGGUCCUUAAGUAUCAAAAAUAAUCAACAAAUAAAUAAAGAAAAGGAUCCAAAUGCAACCGACAUCCAGACUUAGGGUUUUAUCUGACAGAAUUCCACGAGUUUUGGUGUUUGUCUAUUUCUGCAGGGGGUUAUCAGGAAUUAUGGAGGAAAGGCCCACACAUCGGUUUUACAUAAAGAUAUUAAUGUGCCGCGUAAUUAUCUAACAUCUAGAAGAGUCCAGAAGCCACGGGAACGAACGGGAGCCCGAGGUCAUUGUAGUUCAUCCUAAUUCCAUGGUAGUGACUUGCUAGAAUAUCUGUUGAGGUGCAUGUCAUAUUUAUAUGUGGCUAGUUAUGCUGAUCAGAUUAAUUUUCUUUGCCACUAUUCAUACUUUUAUGUGACAUUUAUCCCUGUAUGAAAGAGAUAGAUAAAUGCUCUCAAUUAUACAUGCAAUGAUAGAUACUCAAUUUUGUAUUCCAUUCCAUAAUCAACAUAAUGUUUAGCAAUCCCUUCCUAGUCGUAAAAAUAUAAAUAAUGAUACCUGGAAUACUUUCCGGUUAAAAUGCUACAUCGGUAUUAAUCUGUGCACUUGCAGAUCUCAUUUAUUAAUUAUUCAGAAGAGCAAUUGCAUAUUUCAAUACCGCGUCUCUGAUGUCAUGCUGGGGAUGACAACUUGGCUUAAGUGGCAUGAGGGAUAGGUUCGGCAUUUUUGGCGCCGUUAUUAAAAUUAGAAAACUAAGUCAACUUUUGGUAAUGACGUUAAGAAUGCCGCUCCGAAAUCAGAUUCUAUCUGAAGCUCAUUCAUCUAAGUUGUCUAUCCAUCCUGGUAGUAGCAAGAUGUAUCAGGAUCUGAAACCUCAGUUCUGGUGGACAAAGAUGAAAAAGGAGAUUGCUGCUUUUGCUGCUCAUUGUGAUAACUGUUGUCGUGUGAAGGCAGUUCACAUGAAAGCAGGCUUACUUUAACACUUGUCAAUUCUAGGUUGGAAAUGGGAAGAAGUUAGUAUAGAUUUUAUCUCUGGACUCCCAACUUCUGUUAAGGUUUACGACUCUAUCUGGGUGAUUGUAGAUCGUUUUACCAAGGUUGCUUGUUUUAUUCCAGUUCAAACUGAUUAUCGUCCACAUCAGUAUGCAGAGUUGUACUUCGAGCACAUUGUCCGUCAGUAUGGUGUGCCUCGGACUAUCAUCUCAGAUCGUGGACCACAGUUCACUGCCCAUUUUUGGGAGUGUCUUCAUGAGCAAAUUGGCACUCACUUGGUUCGUAGUUCUGCGUAUCAUCUUCAAACAGCCGGCCAAACUGAACGUGUUAACCAAAUCCUAGAAGACAUGUUGAGGGCAUGUGCUCUCUCUUCAAAAGGUUCUUGGGUAAAGUGGUUACCAUUAGCUGAGUUCUCUUAUAACAAUAGUUACCAAGAGAGCAUCAAAAUGGCUCCAUUCGAAGCCUUGUAUGGUCGAAAGUGUCGAACCCCGUUGAAUUGGGUGGAACCCGGGGAACGGAGGUAUUAUGGCAUCGACUUCGUGAACGAAGCAGAGCAGCAAGUUCGUAUCAUCUAGCAACAUCUGGAAGUUGCUCAAGCUCGUCAGAAAAGUUAUGCUGAUAAUAUAAGGAAGCUGAUUGAGUUUGCAGUCGGUGACCAUGUGUAUCUCAAGGUGUCUCCGAUGAAAGGAGUACAAAGGUUUGGAGUCAAGCGAAAGCUUGCACCUCGUUAUGUGGGGCCUUAUCGGAUUCUCGAGAGAAAAGGGAACGUAGCUUACAAGAUUCAACUACCGGUUGAGCUUCGAGCUAUCUUUCCUGUGUUUCACGUAUCGCAAUUGAAGAAAUGCCUUCGUGUUCCGGAGGAACGAGUGGAAGUUCGGGAUAUCAAGUUGAAAUCCGACUUGGUGUAUGAGGAGAAACCUAUAGCGGUUGUUGACCGCAUGGAGCGAGUGAGUCGUAAUUGUGUGGUUAAGAUCUACAAGGUGUUGUGGAGUAACCACGAGGAGGAAGAUGCCACUUGGGAAACAGAGGACUAUUUAAAAGAAGUUCAUAAAACUUUCUUUGAAAAUCAGUAAGCUUCCAAAUCUUGGGACGCGAUUUUUGUAAGGGGGGAGGGCUAUAACACUUGAGUGUUAUGGUUUCAUCAUUCACAUGCAUAACAUGAGCAUCAUCAUCUUCAUGAGCAUAUCAUGAUCAUCAUUUACCUUGGGUCAUGUCAUUUUAUGCAAAAGUAUGAUUUAAGUUGCUUAAAUAUGCUUUCUAUGCUUAUGUUUGGUUGUACCAUGCUCAUGCUUGUGUUAUAUGCCUUGGUAAAUAGUUCAUCUAUGCUUAACUCAAGUUUUGGAACAAUGUUCAUGUUGGUCACAUCUCCAAAUUAAGUACCUAAGUCAUACUUUCACCUAUAGGCCUUAAAAACCUCUUUUGCUUAGGCUUUUAAAAAGUGCUUCAUAAAUUAUUUACAUGUCAAAACUUCCUAAAGCAAAGUUGUAGAAAAUUGUAUAAGGAACAAAAUUUGUUUCAUGGCCAUGUCAUGAAAAUGAUCACAUCUUGCUCAAAAAGUGCUUGCAAGACAGUUUUGGGUGCUGUUUAGGCGCCACCAGUUUGCUUGAUCAAUUUUCGGAGCUUCAUAUCUCUUGAUCCAUGCCGAAUCGGUCUUUGCUCCAGUUGACAAACUUGUAGAACUCGUUUAGUACUCCAACUUUGUCAACUAAAUCAUCUCCCAAUUCGCAAUGCAUCAUCUCCUAAUGGACGCCGAGCUCGUCGACGUGGCCGACCGGCGUCAGUACAACGGCGACAUUUGGCGCCCGUACGCCGUCUCUAGCCCCGCUCGUCAGCUCCGGGCGCGCGCAUGACCUCCACGGUGACGCCUUCGAGCGAGUGGACGCGUCCAUUUCCUCUUUCCCGUCUCUCUCGCGCUCAUCGUCUUCUCCGCGUCGCCGCCGCUGCUUCGGCGAGCUCGCGCGCUCCCGUCUCAGCAUCUCCGGCCGAGCGACUACAUCCAGUGCUCCGCCAGCUUCCCUGCUUCACCGUCGUCAAGUUGGCUGCGGCUGCCGAGCUUCGGUAAGCCCGCAUUGUCUUCUCUGUCGCGAGCUUACCUCGCCGGAGCUCCACCGUGGUCACCGGUGUCGUGGCCGGGGCUCUGUAGUCCACCAUUUCCUCUCAUUCUUGUUCCUAGAGCUUCGCCUGGUCACGUUGGUGCUCGUCGGGAUCUUCUUUCGUCUGGUCUCUGACCAGAGAUGCCGACGGUUGGCCGCACCUCACCGCCGUGCCGCCAUUCGCAAGGGUAAGGUCCCUAGGGUGCAGUAGAGUUAGGGUUUCUGGUACCAAUCGUCGCGGAAUAGAGUGAGCAGCACGAUGGUACUCCUGGCCAUCGCCGAGACCUCGCCGUCGACGAGAUCUCCGGCGGUCAAGCCUCACCUCUGCUCUCGGGUCAUUGACGGGUGGGGUCCGUUGACCUGCGGGGUCCGCCUGUCAGUCUCUCUCUCCUUUAGUUUGAAAUUAAGGUUUGUGCUGUUUUUGCAAAAAUCAUAUCUCCAGUUUCUGAGCUCCAAAAUUGGUGAAACAAGUUUUGUGAUGAUCCAUGGGAUGGCUAGUUUUUAAUAAAAAUAUAACAUGCACCAUGUUUUCUGGGAAAAGUAAUUGUUAUGAAUUAAUCUUGUUAUUUAAGUGUAAAUUCAUUGCUUUUGAUAUACUGCUCCUUUUGCUGUGAAAUUUCUGUGGUAGGCUCUGAGUGAUAUUAAAAUGCUCUGAUAAAUAUUUCAUGAUUUUUGGAGUGCUGUAUCUUUGAUAUGUAAUUUAUGUUGAUUCUAUGGCUUGUUUUCAUCUUUAAAUCAUAAUAAAUGUUUGAUGCUUAUGCUGGUGUUCUCUUUUGGUGUCAAGCUUGUUUAUAGUAAUAGUAACAUGUAAAUGAUCUAAAAUCUGUUGUUUGACUGUAUCUAAGCCAUGUUUCUUAAUUUAUGAAAUAAGCACCUUGUUACUUGUUAAUUAAUUAUCUUAAGUUUGGCUUGUGCAAUUGCUCUGAAACUUUUAUGGUGAUGUCUAGUUGCCAUGCUUGUGCUUCUAUAACUUUUGUAGAUUUUUAUGAGCACUUUUGCUAGUAUCUUGUAAUUAUGUCCUUUUAUAGAAUUAAAUUAAUAAAGGCCAUGUUAUUGCAUGUUUAGGGGUCAACAUGGAAUGUUCUGUUAAUCUUAAGUUAUGCUUGUGCUUGUCAGCAAUUUGGUUGGCACUAAAUAUGUUUUGGCUAUGUCAUCAAAUAAUUACUUAAAAGUUUUAUAGCUGUUCUAGACAGCAUGGGAGUAAUCUGACCUUUGCUUGGUGAUAACUUGGUUUCCUGAAAGACGUUAUAUGUAGAGGCGAUCUUCGACGCUAACUCAGGCGACGAGCCUGGGGUGUAGUGGGUAGUUGGUAGCCGCCUGUGAGGCUCUUUUGUAGUAUGACCUAUUGCAGUUGUGCCCUUGUAACCGUGCUGUAAUCCUGAACCUUGGUCUAAAACUUGUGUCUGUGCUGUGGUGGUGUAAUAACUUUAUGGAUCGGAUGUUGCAAUGACUCUAUCAUGUUCGGAUGUGCUAUGAUUGGUGAUGUUGUUUUGUGGAAUUGAAUUAUUGUGUCUUUUUCCAUAAAGUUAUUCCCUCGAAUACUUUCGAGCAUGAUUGUAAGUUCUUCUACGGCAAAUCUUGUCAUCAUCAAUACUCACUGACUGUGUCUUUGCAGAUGUCUUGUAGCACUCGAGGUGCGGAAAAUCAUGCGAACAUGAACCCGACCCCUCCUCCUCCACCACCAAUUCCAGCUGAGCUGAUGCAAAUGAUGGUGGAAAGUCAAAGGCUGCUCACUGAGACUAUUAAUCAGAUGGCAAACUAGGGUGGCUGGAAUGUACAACAUGGGCCAGCACCAAAUCAGUACAGCAACUUUAAGGAUUUCAUGGAUACCAAGCCCCCAUCUUCUAGAGAGGCUGAAGAACCCCUUCUGGCGGAAGAAUGGCUGAACAUGGUGGAGCAGAAGUUCCGCUUGCUUCGGCUAACUGAAAGUCUGAAGGCGGAGUAUGCGGCUCAUAAACUGUAGGGUCCAGCUAGUAUCUGGUGGAAUCAGCAUAGGGAGGCUCUUCUAGAAAACACUAUAGUUGACUGGAACGUCUUCGGUGAAGCUUUCAAGGGACAUUUCAUACCUCUUGAGGUCAUGGAAAUGAAUCAUACAGUGAUCAUGCAGUUAACUCAGGGCAACAGAACUCUAAAGGAGUAUUUGCAUGCUUUCAAUCAUCUGUCAAGGUAUGCUCCUGAGUUUGUGAGCACUGGAACAAAGAAGAUUGUUAGUGAUCAAGAGGGGUCUUGGCCCUAAGCUGCUGAAGACUAUGGGCCGCACUAAGUUUGCCUGUUGACGGUCCUUAAUGCUCACAUUUAACACGUCGGGUUUACAUAGAGAUAUUAACAUGUCGCGCAAUUUUCUAUCAUCUAGAAGACUCCAGAAGCCACGGGACCGAAGCGGAGGCCGAGAGGGCUCAGGGACAGGGCGCCCGACCUCCUAUUCUGCCCAACCAGGGUACAACUCGGGGAUCAUGCUCCACCGACCUAAAGGAUCAAGGAUAACUGUUCAAUCAAUGUCGGUUUGAUCCGAUGGCCCAGAUUCAUCUGAAAAGACUAUAUAAGCAAGGCCCCCUGGCCCCUAGAGAUCAUACCUCUUCUACAGAAUCAAAGCUAGGGUUUCAAUUCUUCAUCCAAGUAGAGAGGAUCCCUCUAGUUCAUCAAGUUCUAGUUCUAGUUCAUCUAAUUCUAGUUCAUCUAGUUCUAGUUCUAGUUCGUUCUAGUUGUAAUCUAGAAAAUAGAGAGAGAGAAGAGGAGAGCGGAGGAGGAGGAGGCGGAUCUGUCGGAUCUUCCUCAACAUUGUACUUUUGCAGCAACUAGUUCGUUCUUCAUCGUUCUCUAGGUUCUUAAAUUCAUAAUUCCUGAGUUCUUUAAUUACUUUUAUUUACAUUCAAGUUAUUUAUUAGAUUCCCGCUUGCAUCAAGUGCUCUAGUCUUUAUAACGCUAGAGUAGUAAUUAAUAGAUUAGACGUGGUGUUUAGUCUUGCAAUUACCUAGAAUUACACCCAAUCCUGCGGAUUGUUGUGGUAGCCCUAGGGUAGUGACAGCCCUAAUGGUCAGCGUAUUCCACCUCGUUCGGAUCGGUGUUUGUAGGACCGUAGUCAGAGCUUCCUAGCCCCCUUCUCACCUCUUUCUGUGGUUAGUGUUCUGAUGUCCCGAAAUAAAUAAUCUUUGAAGUAAUUCUUGAUUCUUAGAUCAACUAGAGAACUCUCAGGAAACUUCCUCUCUUCCCACGAAAAAUACUUAUAUAGUUAUCCUUGGGUGAUCUUGAUUCUUAAUUAGUACACUCACGUUCCCUGUGGAAAAUCGAUACUCUGGAAUACUCCUGGGUGAAGGCUACAUCGGUAUCCGUGCGCUUGCGGAUUUUUCUGUUUGCGUUUAAAAUACCCAACAAGCUUUCUGGCGCCGUUGCCGGGGAACGGUAGCUGUGCUAGUUUCGAACCAAGUCGUCCAUGUAUCCUUUUUCUUUUCCUUUUUUACCACACUGACCUUACCAUUUUCACCACAACACAUGGAUUUCACUCCAAGCAUUAAUGAGCAUGGAAUUUAUUUCAUAGCCACUUCAUUUACUCCUUGCUCAUAUGCAACAUCUUCCCUAUCUUUUGGUCUCUCCAACAUCACCACAUUCAAGAUUUCCAACCCCCUCUUCCUUUCUAUUUAUAAAAACAUUAAAAGGGCGGUUGUCGAUGCAUAUGUCUAUAAUAUAUUUUGCAGAUCUCGUUGGGUGGAUCUUGAUAUAGGUCAGUGUUGGAGGCGAAACCACUUCACCAACAUUAAUUGAUGGUUUCCCAAGGACAAGCUUAGUGUCCUAAAAUAAGCACUGAUCAGAUCGUAACAUGAGCUUUUAAUUAUUUGCAACAUUACCUUGUGUAUAUAAGGAUAAUUGUAAAAAAAUUCCUUCGAGUAUUCUUGUCACUGACCUUUUCAGGGUUGUAGCAUGAAGAUCGGAUGAAUGACAAGUACAAGGUAUGUCCAACCAAUCAUCAUACAACAUUGAAUUAAAUUCAUCCAAACUUGAAUUUUGCAAAAUUCAAGCUUGGGGGAGAACUUUACAUGAAAACAUCAUUUGCCAAGUUGCUAUGUUGGUUGUCCAUACCUUUGAGACAUGCUCAAUUUGUUAAAUACUAAUCACACUACUUCAUCUCCACUUGAGUAGAUCUCUAUAAAUACUCUCAUGCUACCUUUAUUUGCAUUAGUAUAUGUCUAGGUUUGGGGUAGUUUCAUUUAUCUCUUAAUUAAGCAUGGUGCUUAGUUUAGGGCUGAUGAUCUUACUUACAAGGGAGUUUAAAUAAAGCAUCAUGCUUAGGUUAAAAUGCCCUCCUAAAUCAAAUUAGACAUCGUGUCUAGGUUGAUCUUUGAGCCGAUAGUAUGCUAUAGUAGAUAUUGGAUAUUUUGUUGGACUAACCCCUACAGGAAAACUUUCAAAAUCGAUCUGGGAGGUCCUGAGAUAAACUCACAUUGGAUACAAAGAGAGAGACACAUGAAGGUUAACAAUUUACACAAGCAAGGCAUAGCUCACAAGAGAUCAUCUAUGGAGGGUGCCACAAACACGAUGCACAACCGCUAAGAAAGGAAAGCUUCCACAAGGUGAUACUGUACCAUCACUGUUUAAGUAAGGUAACAUUUUAAGGUACUUGACUAUCACUUUUAUAAGUUUCUCCUUGGUUCUAGCGUUCACAUGAAUAAAGAGACACACAUGUAUGAUUUAUAACUCUAAAUUAACCAACCCAAUUAAUUCAGCAUGUUUAGUCCGUAAUCUUUGUUUAUAAUACUAGCUUCGUGAUCCCACACUCCUAAUCAUAUAAGCUAAAAUGUUGCACAUUCAAUCUUUGGAAGAUAUAAACAAAACAUAAAUAUAGAUAUAUUAUCUUUCCAUAAGGUUGAGCAAUCUGAUCUAACAAAUGUUUUAAAUGCUACACUCAUGAUCUUAUUAUCCAUCAACUUUGGCUUGCUCACUAUGCUUAAGGUUAGAGAAGAACAAAUACACUUUUGGUUCUGUUAGUGUUUUCCACCAACAGGGCCCAUGCACUUGAUAUCUGCCUUGUCGCUAUGAGCAGGUACACAUCGAGCAAAAUAUGGAGGAGUUUUACAACUCCCAAACUCUACCAAGUGAAGAAUCUGGAUCUACGAGCACAAACACACUGGAGAUACUGGACACUCAGGCAAUCAAUGCCUUGAGAUGCUUGAGGACGUAACUACUAGAGUAACCCCAUUGUAGAAGUAAUUACUGACCUUCUGCCGGUCAAAAGAGACAAUCCAGGACGCCCCGUCAUCCCGAUCUCCAUCGGCAUGGUGGACUUCCCAGAAGCACUCUGCGACUUUGGCUCCUGCGUCAACAUUAUGCCCAGGGUACUCUAUGGAAAAUUCUUUACACAUCCUUUACUAGAAACAACCAUGUGUUUGCAGCCUGCAGAUCAGACACUAAGUUUCCCAAAGGGAAUAUUGAAGAACCUCUGCGUCCGAGUUGGUACCUUAUACGCCCUAGCAGACUUCGUGGUGAUAGAGAUUGGUACUGAUGAGACGGCACCUAUCAUCCUAGGGAGGCCAUUCCUGAACACCUCAGGAGCUGUCAUCUACGCUAGUGCUGCCAAGAUCAGUUUCUACAUCAAGGGAAGGAAGGAGACGUUUUCCUUCAAGAACAAGACUACACAAAUCUCAGAGCAAUCCCGACAUGAACCAAGGAAAGGACCAAUAGGAGGAACACGAACAAGCAAAUGUGGACUGAGUCAGCUAAGAUGGUCACUGGAGUUCAAGGAGGUCAAGAUCGUCGACUUAAGUCACCGUUCCUGACAAAAAAGGAUGACCCAAGUAUGCUAAGCAUCCAGUGCUCCAUUAAUCGAUACAACUUCCAGAAGAUGCUUUGCGACACCGGGUCAGAUGUCAACAGUCACCUAUCAGCUCUUGUUCGGAACCAUGCCCCUAAAACCGACAUACAUUCAGCUCUAGAUGGCAGAUCAGACAUUCCGAAAGAUUGAAGGUUUUUAACAUGGGAGAAGAUGAGUACGAUCCACCCAUCAUCCUUGGAAGACCGUUCCUCAGCACCGUUAAAGCAAUCAGCUACAUUGGAACCGGAGAAGUUCACAUGCACCUCCCCUCUAAGAAGGUAUGCCGCUAUUUUACUGACCCUAACUAUAUAGUUGAAGACUCUAAGCAGGUGAGGACAAGAAGAAGACGACGCAACUGCAACCAGAGGAGGCAAAUCAUCAAGGACGGAUGGGGAGACUAUGAAGGAGAAGUUGUAAGGUCUGAAGACAUACAACUUGAACAGAACUAUCCUGAGGAGACCAUAGCACCGAGUCAGCUGUGGAGAGAGAAGAUAGUUAUACAUGAAGAUCAGGCGCCGCAGGAACCACCGACUGCGCCAUCGAGCGAAUCCCAGGACGACUGAGAAAAUGGAGAGUCCUGUUUGGAGGACUUAAAAACACCGAACGCCUUGCCAAGAGGUAAACUUGGUAGUUAUCUUUCUCCUUUCAAUUAUUUAAAAUAGUUUGCUUAGUUAAUCAAGUUCACAUCAUCUUGAAAAGAAAAUAAAAAUGUUGAGGAUAGUAAGCCCCAUGUGAGUAUGCUCAUGGCAUAAAACCCAUAAGUACAUUCACUGUGGUGGCGUAAAAAUAAAAUAAAUAUAUUCUUGUCCUAUAAAAAUGAAAAUAUAAAAAUAAAUUUAUGAUCCUACCAAAUUGAGUAAUAUUUAUUAGAGGAAGCUCAACUUGAUAACGGCUAAGAGAUUUUAUGCUAACAAUUAACCAGUUCCACAAAGCUUUGUUGUCUAUUUGAGCUCCACAGAAUUCAAGGAUCAAAGAAGACUAGCUGAAGGAGGACAUCCUAAUCGUUGUCUGGGUGCUGCUGACAUUCAAAUAUACCUCCACCACCUGCUAGCUACAUCAGAAGAAAUUAGGUCAAAAUCCACCUUGGGGGAGAGCACCCCCAUUUAUCCAGCUAAGUGUUCUACUCACGUUUAUACUUUACUCAAAUAAUAAAAAGAUGCAUAAUCAUAAAAACCCAAAUAAAGAUUUUAUGCUUAUAUACAUCUCUUUUCUUAGUUUGCUAAAUAAAUCAAUAAAUAAAGUUUGCUAUGAACCCUCAUGAUAAGCUCUCACAUGGAAAUGAUGAAUAGUUGCUCUGCCAUGACUAAUUCUCAAAAUUGAAAUCUCUCUCAAGUUUAGGCAUGACUGUUAUUAAUUAAGAUUUGCUCUAAACCUGAACUUGUGGGAAGAGUACUUGAUCUGAAGUCUAAGUCAUUAACUGAUACCAUACGGGAAGGUUGAGCUGCUGUUUAUCUGUUCUUAGAGAUGCUAGAAUUGUGGAGAAUUUAUCUUUUGAAAAUCAUUAAAAUGUUGCAUGAUGAGUCCCUCUAUGAUGAGAGUUUAAAAUCCUACCACAGCCAUAUAUACAUUCUUGCUAGACUUUGAGCCACACAUUUACUUUUUACUGCUUAUGAGCAUUGAGUGUGGUCAAGUUGUGUAGACCCUUAGGAGCUUGUCAUGUGGUUAAAUCAAGAUUCAUUUGCACGUUCACUCACACAUGCUGCUUCUACUCCGGAAGUACGCAUCCACAUAUAUCCACCCAUUUCCAUCUCCAGAACCAUCUAAAAAUAUUCUACUCUUAAUCCGAGAGAGAAUAGCCAAAAAUAAUAUCCUAUCCCUGUUAUUCCCUGUGAAAUAAAUGCUCAAGUUAUCUUGGUUGCUACCACUUGCUACAUUAUUUCAAGAGAUGAGUGCUCUGAAAAACAGAAGAUACGAGGAAAUAAAAAGGGGCAAGUGCCCGGAACCUCGAAAGAAAAGAAAAAGUGAGACGAGAGGUAAAAAUGGACAAGUGUCCGACAGUAGAAUUAGGGGUACAAGAUACCACCUGAGAGAAAAGAAAAAGAAAAUAUACAACAUCUCAUUCUCCUCAAAAAGUUUCAAAAGAGCAAGAAAGGUAUGUAUCCCCUCAAAAGAGCACAAGUAGAAUUAGACUUUCACCAUUGUCAUCACCAUCAUCACCAUACACCAUUCAUUCGCCACACAUGAACAUCUUGAUUUGACUUAUUGACUUGUUCUUUUGGAUCCAUGGUUUGACUAUGCAAUAAAUGUCUUGUAUGUAUGUAUUAGCUGUCUCCCACCUAUGAGCUCCAGAUAUCAAAACUUUAUUAGAGUAGGGUGAGAGAGAAGGCAAUGCCACUAUGCCUCAUACCAAAAAUACCACGUACUUUGAGAGAAGGCAUACACCAUUACUGCCC
rnacentral:lncRNA from 1 species